rnacentral:rRNA from 1 species
AGUCGAACGAGAAAGGGCUUCGGCCCGAGUAAAGUGGCGCACGGGUGAGUAACGCGUGGGUAAUCUGCCUCCGGGCGGGGGAUAACAUUCCGAAAGGAGUGCUAAUACCGCAUGAGACCACGGCCUCGAGGGGUUGUGGGAAAAGAUGGGGAUCUUCGGACCUGUCACCUGGAGAUGAGCCCGCGUACCAUUAGGUAGUUGGUGGGGUAAAGGCCCACCAAGCCGAAGAUGGUUAGCUGGUCUGAGAGGAUGAUCAGCCACACUGGAACUGAGACACGGUCCAGACUCCUACGGGAGGCAGCAGUGGGGAAUAUUGCGCAAUGGGGGCAACCCUGACGCAGCAACGCCGCGUGUGUGAUGAAGGCCUUCGGGUCGUAAAGCACUGUGAGGUGGAACGAGCCGCCGGGGGUCAAUACCCUCCGGCCCGACGGUACCACCAGAGGAAGCACCGGCUAACCCUGUGCCAGCAGCCGCGGUAAUACAGGGGGUGCAAGCGUUGUUCGGAAUUAUUGGGCGUAAAGCGCGUGUAGGCGGACCACUAAGUCUGGUGUGAAAUCCCUCGGCUCAACUGAGGACGUGCAUUGGAUACUGGUGGCCUUGAGUCCUGGAGAGGGUAGCGGAAUUCCCAGUGUAGAGGUGAAAUUCGUAGAUAUUGGGAGGAACACCGGUGGCGAAGGCGGCUACCUGGACAGUGACUGACGCUGAGACGCGAAAGCAUGGGUAGCAAACAGGAUUAGAUACCCUGGUAGUCCAUGCCGUAAACGAUGGGUGCUAGUUGGUGCGGGUAUUGACCCCUGCGCUGACGAAGCUAACGCGUUAAGCA